GAAGGGACGUUGAAGACGACGACGUUGAUAGGCCGGAUGUGUAAGUGCAGCGAUGCAUUGAGCUAACCGGUACUAAUGACCCGUGAGGCUUAACCUUACAACGCCAGAGGCGUUU
rnacentral:rRNA from 1 species